rnacentral:rRNA from 1 species
AAACCUCGCCUUCAAGAGUGGGACAACAGACGGAAACGACUGCUAAUAACCGAAUACGAUCCGAAAGUCGCAUGACAUUUGGAUGAAAGGGUGGCCUAUCGAAGAAGCUAUCGCUUGAAGAGGGGUUUGCGUCCGAUUAGGUAGUUGGUGAGGUAACGGCCCACCAAGCCGACGAUCGGUAGCCGGUCUGAGAGGAUGAACGGCCACACUGGAACUGAGACACGGUCCAGACUCCUACGGGAGGCAGCAGGC